UACGUAGACGGAAAAUUAAGUCAGUAGUGAAAUCCUGCAGCUUAACUGUAGAACUGUUAUUGAUACUGGUUUUCUUGAAUAUAGUUGAGGUAGGCGGAAUGUGUAAUGUAGCGGUGAAAUGCUUAGAUAUUACACAGAACACCGAUUGCGAAGGCAGCUUACUAAGCUAUGAUUGACGCUGAGGUACGAAAGCGUGGGGAGCGAACAGGAUUAGAUACCCUGGUAGUCC
rnacentral:rRNA from 1 species